AGAGUUUGAUCAUGGCUCAGAUUGAACGCUGGCGGCAUGCUUAAUACAUGCAAGUCGAACGGUAACAGAUUCUUCGGAAUGCUGACGAGUGGCGGACGGGUGAGUAAUACAUAGGAAUCUGCCCAUGUAGUGGGGGACAACUUGGGGAAACUCAAGCUAAUACCGCAUAAUUCCUACGGGAUAAAGAGGGCCACUGCUUGCAAGCUCUUGCUACUGGAUGAGCCUAUGUCGGAUUAGUUAGUUGGUAAGGUAAUGGCUUACCAAGACAGCGAUCCGUAGCUGGUUUGAGAGGAUGAUCAGCCACACUGGGACUGAGACACGGCCCAGACUCCUACGGGAGGCAGCAGUAGGGAGUAUUGGACAAUGGGCGCAAGCCUGAUCCAGCAAUGCCGCGUGUGUGAAGAAGGCCUGCGGGUUGUAAAGCACUUUCAAUUGGGAAGAAAGAUUAUGAGUUAAUACCUUAUAAUAUUGACGUACCAAACAAGAGA
rnacentral:rRNA from 1 species